rnacentral:rRNA from 1 species
AUUGAACGCUGGCGGCAGGCCUAACACAUGCAAGUCGAACGGUAACAGGAAGCAGCUUGCUGCUUUGCUGACGAGUGGCGGACGGGUGAGUAAUGUCUGGGAAACUGCCCGAUGGAGGGGGAUAACUACUGGAAACGGUAGCUAAUACCGCAUAACGUCGCAAGACCAAAGAGGGGGACCUUAGGGCCUCUUGCCAUCGGAUGUGCCCAGAUGGGAUUAGCUAGUAGGUGGGGUAACGGCUCACCUAGGCGACGAUCCCUAGCUGGUCUGAGAGGAUGACCAGCCGCACUGGAACUGAGACACGGUCCAGACUCCUACGGGAGGCAGCAGUGGGGAAUAUUGCACAAAGGGCGCAAGCCUGAUGCAGCCAUGCCGCGUGUAUGAAGAAGGCCUUCGGGUUGUAAAGUACUUUCAGCGGGGAGGAAGGGAGUAAAGUUAAUACCUUUGCUCAUUGACGUUACCCGCAGAAGAAGCACCGGCUAACUCCGUG